rnacentral:piRNA from 1 species
CUUGUUGAGAGGCCAGAACAGAGU